GGUAGCACUUGAACUGAACUCUAUUCCACUACUUCCUCGAGAAAAAUCCUCUAUCCAAUGAUUGUCUUCCUGAGUAGGGAUACCAAGGAAAACCUCGUUUUCAACUAAGCUGUCAAAUCUAUCGUCAAAAUCAAACUUGGGAAGAGCAUAGGGAUGCAAAACAGAGGAAACUUUGGAGCUGUCUUCACCGGCUAAAUGACUUUGAUAAUCAUUGUCAUUGUAAUCCAUCUGUAUAUCCCAGA
rnacentral:misc_RNA from 1 species